rnacentral:tRNA from 2 species
CGGGGCGUAGCGCAGCUUGGUAGCGCAUCUGGUUUGGGACCAGAGGGUCGGGUGUUCGAAUCACCCCGCCCCGACCA